rnacentral:tRNA from 1 species
AGGCUGGUGAUCUAGUGGUUAUGAUGCCCGUUUGACGUGCGGGAUGUCGAGGGUUCAAAUCCCUCCCGGCCUA